AUACUCUUUGCAAGGAGGUCAUUAUGAGAGGCACUCAUGCAGUGUACGAAAUAGAGUUCCCCAGGGAGAAAAAGAUGGAAACAGAAGGGAGGCAGGAGUGGGACUGGAUUUUGUGUGAAUGAAACUGUUUCUUCCCAAUGCAUGCACAAGUCAUUCAUUGCAUAAACAACUAUACGGAGAAUGCAUGUUCAAUCUGUUAUCUACUCUCUUGAGGAGGUCCAGCAGAACCAACAAUCAUAUGUAAAAUGAGUUCAUAAUAGAUUGAGAGGGUUAUCCUCUGCAAAAACCAUAACAGCGCAGUAGUAAAUAGGAGUUUUAUGUUCAG
rnacentral:misc_RNA from 1 species